GAAGCGCUAAUGGCUACAGUUAAGAGGGUUGCUGCCGCUGCAGCAAUAACCAAAGUGCGGAAAGUGGCCAUGGCCUUGUCAGAAGUGGAGGAGUAUAGGACCCCCAUGAAACCAGGACCUGAAGCACAGAAGACAAAGGAGAGACGCUACGAGUGUAGUGUGUGUGGGAAGAGGUUCCAGAGCCGGAGCCACAUCAAAGAGCACCAUCGUGUGCACACCGCACAAGUACACACCCCCAAGUCCUGAGCUGCUGUCUUCAUCCAAGAAGAAAAGGCCCAGCCACCAUCUGCCCUCAGAACAGGGAAAAGUGAAGAAAGAGGAGGUGGAGAUGGUGUCUUUCCAGAAGUGUGCCGGAGGGUUGAGGAAAGUUGCUUAUGAAAUAGAGGUAGUGCUUUAAGACUUGGGACAAUUUUUUUUUAUUACUAAAUAACCUGACUUACCUUUUUUAUGGCACCAAAAUUUGUGUUACUUUCUGGCAUAAUUUGAUUUCAGGGGUCACAGAGGCAUUAUUGUUAGCAAUAACUGCGCUUAUUGCUUAGCUGAUGCCGCUGUACAAAGUAACUUAACAUUUGGUCCAUCUAGACAGCUGGGUAUCUUACUCAAGGGUAAUUCAGUAGUCAGAAGUGGGAUCUGAUCCAGCAAACCUAAGUUACAUUAGGAUCACAGAACCAGUUGUGCAAUUCUUUUUAUCUGUUGUAAUACACUUCUCAUUCAGUUGACACUAACCGAGUGAUAUGGAAUUUCUAGACCAGAAGUUUAGAAAUGUUCAUUGUAAUUGCUGCUGAUACUUGAAAUAUUUUGAAAUGAGGCUCUUUUAGACCUUUUCUUUCAUUGGUGCCUUUAUUACAUUUCCCCAAGACACUUUCAGUUUAACAACAGUAAAUUGACAUUAGAAAUGUAGUGGUCAUUGAUUUGAUUAAUUUUUCUUCUGUCAUUACUGUUUGUCAUAUUUUAGCUGUUUUGCUUUGUAUUAGUUUGAUCAUCAGAUUUUAAUACUACUGCACCAUUUACUAUGUAAAGCUAUUUUAUAUUUGCUGUCUGUAAAGUCAGAUGUAGGGACCUUCUAAUGUACUUUUUAUUCAUAUUUAAAAUAUGGUAAGCAAAUAUCAGUUUUUAAAAUUUCCACCUUAUACCAUCACUUUUAUGUUAAGUGUUGAAAAUUAUUGUAAUUUAAAUUAAUAUCCAAAAUCAUUCUUGAAAAAUAUUUUAUUUUCUUUUACUGAUAAGGUAAUGGAGUAUGUUGAAU
rnacentral:lncRNA from 1 species